AAGCAGCAAACGUGAUGGAGACAGCAACUGUACAACAGACCUCAAUGGGCAGAAUGUGAGGAUGCAACCAUAAACCUCAGAAUUGGCAGAAAGAGGGUGCAAUUGGGUGGCUGAGAAAGGUGGUGCUUUGGUGAAGUGCAGGACCAGCUCCAGGUAUGAAGAGGCUUGAGUUUAGUGGUCCAUUGGUGGCCCCUGGAAGGCUCACCUGGUGAUGGGGGCGGUAGGCAGCAGCACUCACAGCAGUGCCCGAAAUGAUGUCAGGAGCAUUGUGGGAAAUUAAAAUGGCUGCUAAAAUCAGGCUGUCAGACAAAGACAAGUUAUUUUAAGGGGGAUGGUAGCCAGGGACCAUUAUCAGCAAUGGGGUCUGCUGGGAUGUUGUCAGGCUUCAGGGAAUUGGCUUCCUCUCCCCGUGGCAGUAGAUAAGAAGAUCAAAGAAAGGAACGUCUUACCAAUUACAAUCUUUGAUAAUCACCUUGAGAGAACAAAGAACCUAUCUCCUAGAAAUAUGGUGCUCCCAGUUAAGGGUCACUCCCCCUCUCCGUCCCUAUUAAUCUAUCUCACUCCUCCAUCUUGUGAUCUGAGCUUGUACCCGUCUGUUCUGACACUUUCUGAGCUCUCCGUGACUUUGGAGAAGGAGGAUGAAUGCUGUCCAGAGACUGUGAAUCUGUUAACCCUCUCUCUUCCAGUGUUUCUUCUUCUAGCUGUUCCCCAUCCAGUAUUUCCCAGCUUCUGCCUUCUGAACUAUGCCCCUCUGCAAACCACUGUUCCAAAUCUAUACCAUCCUCCUGCUCCUGGGAAGGUUCAGGACCCGGAGCAGGGGGAGGGGGAGGCACUCACCAUUCUUCCUCAGUGCAGCCCUCCUCAGCACAGUCCCUGACAUUUUGAGAGUCCCUCCACAUAAAACAAACACGCAGAAUUCUCACAGCAAGGGAAGCACUGAGUUAGAACCUUUCUCCAUCCUUGUGUGCUAAGUUUCUACAUGCCGGGAAUUUUUUCAUGUGAAGGAGCAUUGAAAAAUGAUAUGCUCCACCUGCACUCUGAAAUGGGGCAAUGCCCUCUACAAGGAUGAGGUUGCCCUGCAAAUGCUGUUGAACUACAACUCCCAUCAACCUUGAUCAUGGGCCUUCCAGCUGGCACAGGCAGGAGUUGCAGUCCAACAACAUCUGGAGGGCCGCGGGUUAACCAUCUGUGCUCUACAGUCUCAGGGCUCUUCUAUCUUAUUCUUCCGGUACAGCAAAACCUUUUCCUCAUUCAUUCAUUCAUUCUUUCUUUCUUUCUUUCAGUUACAGAAUGAAUUGAUUCAGAUAAAAAACUGAAGCAUUUCCUUAUGUUUCAAUCAGGGUUUCCGAAAGUUGGGUCUCCAGCUGUUUUUGGACUACAAUUCCCAUCAUCCCUGACCACUGCUCCUGCUAGCUAGGGAUGAUGGGAGUUGUAGUCCAAAAACAGCUGGAGACCUAACUUUGGGAAACCCUGGUUUAGAUUAUCCAGUAAGGAUCUGCUCUCAUUUCCUUGACGGGGCUGGCCUACCCUUGAGGCAGGAUGAAACAUCUGCCUCAGGCACCUGAAGUCCAAGUUGCCCCCCCCCCGACCAUCACAGCCGUCACUUCCACCAUCAACAGAGAAGUGGUGCUGGCAGUGGCACCAGCUUCUGGUGAGAUCUCGCGAGAUCUCUCUGGGACUCGAUGGUAGUACUGCUUUGGGACGAUACAUUCCCAUUUGGCCUCAGACAGUGAAACAGGACACACUGCCCUGUUCAUUGAUAUAAACUGAGUGGCAUUUGUCAGGGGACAGAGCAGGACCUUUUCAGCAUUGGCCCCUGUUUUGGGAUUUCUGUUCUUGCAGUUUGCAUUCCACCCACAUUUAUCUACCAAAGCUUUUAACUAACGUCUGAUAUGGCCACUGUGUUUUGGAAUUCAGCAGCCAUGUUUUUAUUACUGCUUAGGUGUGUUGCUGUGUCAGCUAUGUGCUGCUUUGAGCAAUCCUAGGUGCAUUCCUUGACUUCUGUGCGAAAUGAGACAAAGGGUCAGAACAAAAUUUGCACAAAACACUUGCAACCACCGUUGGUGCAGUCAUGUGAUUUUCAUGUGUGUUCCUUUCAGAUAAUUGUCUGAAAGCGCAUUGGAGGGCUCCACUGGCUACGUAUCGAAAUUGUACUGCACACAGAGCCUCCAGCAUGAAAACUUUAGCCUCUCCCCACUUUAAUAACCUCCAGCUCAAACCAGUCCACAGGCAGAGAGGAUAAAGGAAAGGACACUGAACUCAACUCUCUAAAUGGUUGUGGUUUGGACUCUGCAUAGUUUCUGCUCAAUAACAGCUUUUACGGUG